GUGCGUACAAGAGAAGCCAGGAGCAAGCUCCCAUGGAGCUUCACCCUAAAAUUCAACAAAACCCUCAAAUUGGAGGAUCAAACAAUGGCCAAACUCGGAUCUGAAUACAUAGAAACGGUCACCAAGUCAGGGGGAUCGUAAGUUUGACUCUUGACAAGCUAGAAGGAGACUUGGGCAAGGAACGGGUCAAACGGUUCGUGUAUGGGAAAAAGAGCAUAAUCGGAUGCAAGGACACUUGCAUUUAAAGAUGACAAAGGACAAACAAAUUAAGGAUGUGAUAGAGGAAUAGUCCGGGGCAUGACAAGAGGAACAUGCUCACUAAGGACUAAAUCGCAUAAAGACCGCGAACAAGGUUAAUGGCAAGAGACGCCCGUCGGGGCAAGCAUUAUCAGGUGCGUGCUUUUAAAUAUAAUCGCGCAAUUAGCAAUAUGCAACAAACAUGUAAAGAAUGAUUGUCGCAUAUGUAAAUUACAAACUUGGGAAACCUGAAUAGAAUACCUAUCCAGGAUAUUAUUUCCAAGAAAACUAAAUAGAGGUGUUACUU